rnacentral:ncRNA from 2 species
GUGCCUUUUGUAGAAUGAACCGGCGAGUUAUGGUAUGUAGCGAGGUUAAGGCGGGAAGCCGGAGCCGAAGCGAAAGCGAGUCUGAACAGGGCGACGAGUUACAUGCUGUAGACCCGAAACCGUGUGAUCUACCCAUGGCCAGGGUGAAGGUGGGGUAAAACCUACUGGAGGCCCGAACUCACUGUCGUUGAAAAGGCAGGGGAUGAGCUGUGGGUAGGGGUGAAAUGCCAAUCGAACACGGAGAUAGCUGGUUCUCCCCGAAAUAGCUUUAGGGCUAGCCUCAAUUGAUGAGUCAUGGCGGUAGAGCACUGAAUAGGCUAGGGGCCUUACCAGGUUACCGAACCUUAUCAAACUCCGAAUGCCAUGAGAUUUAGAUUGGGAGUCAGACUGUGGGGGAUAAGCUUCAUAGUCGAAAGGGAAACAGCCCAGACCAUCAGCUAAGGUCCCCAAGUAUACACUAAGUGGGAAAGGAUGUGGAAUUGCACAGACAACCAGGAUGUUGGCUCAGAAGCAGCCACCAUUUAAAGAGUGCGUAAUAGCUCACUGGUCGAGUGGUUCUGCGCCGAAAAUGUAACGGGGCUCAAGUGUAUCACCGAAGCUAUGGCUUUACAGUUUACUGUAAGGGGUAGGGGAGCGUUCUAUUAUCAGAGAAGGUCAACCGUAAGGUUGGGUGGAGAGAAUAGAAGUGAGAAUGCCGGUAUGAGUAUGCGAAAAGACAAGUGAGAAUCUUGUCCGCCGAAAAUCUAAGGAUUCCUGGGGAAGGCUCGUCCGCCCAGGGUAAGUCGGGACCUAAGCCGAGGCCGAAAGGCGUAGGUGAUGGACAACUGGUUGAGAUUCCAGUACCACCUAAAAGCGUUUGAGCAAUGGGGUGACACAGAAGGAUAGGUUAAGCCAACCGUUGGUUGAGUUGGCCCAAGCGAGUAGGAUGUAGGGUAGGCAAAUCCGCCCUGCGAAAAGUCUGAGACGUGAUGGGGAGCGAAACAUAGUAGCGAAGUAACCGACUCCAAGCUGUCAAGAAAAACCUCUAGUGAGUGAUUAGGUGCCCGUACCGUAAACCGACACAGGUAGAUGGGGUGAGAAUCCUAAGGCGCGCGAGAAAACCCUCGUUAAGGAACUCGGCAAAAUUGCCCCGUAACUUCGGGAGAAGGGGCGCUCUUGGCAACAAGAGCCGCAGAGAAAAGGUCCAGGCGACUGUUUAACAAAAACACAGGUCCCUGCGAAUCCGCAAGGAGAAGUAUAGGGGCUGACACCUGCCCGGUGCUGGAAGGUUAAGAGGAGAGGUUAGCCCGAAAGAGCGAAGCUUUGAAUUGAAGCCCCAGUAAACGGCGGCCGUAACUAUAACGGUCCUAAGGUAGCGAAAUUCCUUGUCAGGUAAGUUCUGACCCGCACGAAAGGUGUAACGAUCUGGACACUGUCUCGACGAGGGACUCGGCGAAAUUGUAAUACCCGUGAAGAUGCGGGUUACCUGCGACAGGACAGAAAGACCCCAUGGAGCUUUACUGUAGCUUGACAUUGGAUUUUGGUAUAAAAUGUACAGGAUAGGUGGGAGACUAAGAAGCUAGGGCGCCAGCCUUGGUGGAGUCGACGGUGGGAUACCACUCUUUUUGUACUGAAAUUCUAACCUAGGCCCCUGAAUCGGGGUUGGGGACAGUAUCAGGUGGGCAGUUUGACUGGGGCGGUCGCCUCCUAAAGAGUAACGGAGGCGCCCAAAGGUUCCCUCAGCGCGGUUGGAAAUCGCGCGCAGAGUGUAAAGGCAUAAGGGAGCUUGACUGCGAGACCCACAAGUCGAGCAGGGACGAAAGUCGGGCUUAGUGAUCCGGUGGUACCGAGUGGAAGGGCCAUCGCUCAACGGAUAAAAGCUACCCUGGGGAUAACAGGCUUAUCUCCCCCAAGAGUCCAUAUCGACGGGGAGGUUUGGCACCUCGAUGUCGGCUCAUCGCAUCCUGGGGCUGUAGUAGGUCCCAAGGGUUGGGCUGUUCGCCCAUUAAAGCGGUACGUGAGCUGGGUUCAGAACGUCGUGAGACAGUUCGGUCCCUAUCCGUCGCAGGCGCAGGAAAUUUGAGAGGAUCUGUCCCUAGUACGAGAGGACCGGGAUGGACGAAUCACUGGUGUACCAGUUGUCUCGCCAGAGGCACCGCUGGGUAGCUAUAUUCGGAGCGGAUAAGCGCUGAAAGCAUCUAAGCGCGAAACCGACCUCAAGAUGAGAUUUCCCACAGCGUAAGCUGGUAAGACCCCUGAAAGAUGAUCAGGUUGAUAGGCCAGAUGUGGAAGCACCGUGAGGUGUGGAGCUGACUGGUACUAAUAGGUCGAGGGCUUGACCUA